AAUGCUGUUUUUGAAUAGCUGGAGGGUGAGUAGUCACCGAGUAAGGUAUGAUACUAGCCCCCCAGCUAUUCAAAAACAGCAUUAACACUUAAGAG